ACCAUGCGCAACGCGGGUCUUGAGAUGGCUGUUUCUCCUGGGGUGAUACGGCGAACGGCGGGAAAGGAAAAGAACCGUCGGGGAAUAGCGAUACCUCCGAUACACCUUAAAAAGAUUUUGAAAAUCGAGAAAGAAUCUAUCUGUUCCGAAUCUGGCUGAAGCCGUGCCAUAUUUUUGGGUUCCUCUGUCGCCAAGCACGGGCUUUUGGUGGCCAUCUUGGUCGGGGAUCAAGCUGCUGUGGCGCGCAUGCGUGACUGUCAUUGGUCGGGAAGUCGGAAGUCAGGUGAUGAACUCAACUACAACAAGAAGCUACAGGAUAGUGUCAAGUAGAGAUUCAGAAAUUUCUCUCAUGGGUCUGCAGCUCACAGCAGUGUUCAACUUCUUGGCUGUUUUGUUUCUGUCUACUUCUGUCAAUGAGAAGUUCACUUCCAAAUGUCAGAAUACGCAGCUGAAUGGAUUCUCCUCAGAGUGAAUUCGCUGAUGUAUCAGGCAGUUUGAAGACCGAGCAAAUGCCUUGCCGCACACAAAACAGGUGAAUGGCUUCUCUCCUGUGUGAACCCGCUGAUGUGACCGGAGGUAGGAUGACUGCCUGAAUCCCUUUCCACAAGCGCUGCAGCGGAAUGGCUUUUCCUCAGUGUGAACUCGUUGGUGUGACCAAAGGCCAGAUGAAUGGGUGAAUCCUUUCCCGCACACAGAGCAGAUAAAUGGUUUCUCCCCAGUGUGGAUUCGCUGGUGUGCAGUGAGGUCAGAAGACUGCCUGAACCCCUUCCCACAAUGAGUGCAGCUGAAUGGCCUCUCCUCACGAUGAAUUCGCUGGUGCAAUGUAAGGCUGGCUAAUUGAGUAAAUCCCUUCCCACACACAGAGCAAGUGAACGGUCUCUCCCUCGUGUGAACCCGCUGGUGUGCGGUGAGGGUGGAUAACUGCCUGAAACUUUUUCCGCAUUGAGUGCAGCUAAAUGGCCUUUCCUCAGUGUGAAUUCGCUCAUGCACCACAAGGUUUGCAGACUGAGUGAAUCCCUUCCCACACACAGAACAACUGAAUGGUUUCUCCCCAGUAUGAUUUCGCUGGUGUGUCAGCAGGGCAGAUGACUGAGUGAAUCCUUUCCCACACAAGGAGCAAGUGAAUGGUCUCUCACCAAUAUGAACUCGCUGGUGCGACAGGAGUUCUGAUGAAGAUUUGAAUCUCUUUCUACAGGAUGUGCAACUGAAAGGCUUCUCCUUAGUGUGAAUUCGUUGGUGUACUACCAGGUUAGCUGACUGAGUGAACCCUUUCCCACAAACAGAGCAGGUAAAUGGCUUCUCCCCUGUGUGAGUGCGUUGGUGUAUCAUCAGAACAGAGGACUGAGUGAAUCCUUUCCCACACACCGAGCAGGUGAACGGUCUCUCCCCAGUGUGAAGUCGUUGGUGUGCAGUGAGGGUGGAUGACUGUCUGAAUCUUCUCCCACAAUAAGUGCAAGAGAAUGGUCUCUCCUCAGUGUGAACUCGCUGGUGUAACAUGAGGUUGGCUGACUUAGAAAAUCCCCUCCCACAUAUGGAGCAUAUGAAUGGCUUCUCCCCAGUGUGAGUGCGUCGAUGAAUUUCCAGCAGGGAUGGAUAAUUGAAUCCUUUACCACAAUCCUCACAUUUCCAUGGUUUAUUUUUAGUGUCAGCCACAUUAUGACUGCGUUGAUGAUAUUCCAAACGGGAUCGGUAAUUGAACACUUUACCGCAGUCACCACAUUUCCAUGGUUUCUCCAUGGUUCUGCUAUUCUUCUGUCUCUCCUGUUUGAGCAAUUAAUCGAAGCCUUGUUCACGAGCAGAACGUAUUAACAACUUCUCUGACUUUGAAUGGGGCAAUGUAUUUUCAGAAUAUAUAGCAAGUGGAAGAUUUGCCACAGUCGGGGCACAGGAACACACUCGACCCUGUGCAUUGGCACUUUUCCAGUCAGAACGAUCUUUGAAAUUUUUUCCCAAAGACAAACAUUUCUGUAUCCAUAAUCAAAGGAUGACUAUGUUCAGAUCCUAGUGAUGUUUCCUGUCUGCAAAUUCUCCCCUUCUAAUACCCUGCAGAGGGAAUUUACAAAAUUUACUGUCUAUACAAGAUAGAAGCUCAGAGCAGUCAAUUCUAAGUUCUAUGCAGCACUUUUUUCUUGUAUUUCUCCAAAACCUUUAAAUCCAAAUCUAUUGCAUUAUCUCUUCACUCUACUUCCAGAUGACUCUAUUCCCCUCCAUGUUAGUUUCUCCAGUUCGUACAAUCAGAUCUUCUAAUCAGAUCUUCUAAUCACAGACACUGAAACCCUGCCCACUCAGUAACCUCACCAACAUGGCCAUAUAUUUGCCCUGCGUUCACGCAUUCCUCUCCCCCUCCCGUAGAUGGCGGACAGCCGGUUGCCUGGGGAACCCUGGUCAUCCCUAGGCAGGAAACACCGCCUCCCUGGUCCGCCCUGACUCCCACUCACAAGAUGGCCGUCAAUGAGUCCGUUGCCCAGGACGUGACCCGCCCGCAGGGUAAACACGGGACCUGUGAGCUCUUAUGCAGAGCCUCAGGCCUCCUGCAGGAGUUGAUAAAGUUGCCGGGCCCCAAUGCCGUGGUCUCCUUUCCUACCCCGUAUCACAAUCUUCUCCUGCCGCCCGACACCGCUCUGCUCUUCGUCAGGCUAUUCCCAUGACUGACAUUGAGCAUGCUCAGAGCACAGCCUGCUCCUAUUCUUGCGCACUGGGCUUCCGUUAUCACUGAUAGGGGGCUUUCUCCGCCGCAGGGAUGUCUAGCUUGAAAGAACCUUGUAACUGUUGGAUUAUUACAGAGAGAGAGGCUCCUUGAGAGCUGCCCCUUUGGUGCCCAUACCUGCCUCACUUACUCCUUGAUCACAGAUGAAGUUUGAACUACGAAAUCUACUGGGUGUGACCACCUCCUGGAGCAAAGUGUUUAGGUAAAUUUGCCAUUCCAUGACAUCUCCAGUCUGGACUUCAGCUCCUCAGUUUGAAUCCAAAGUUGCUUGAGAGCAAACACUUGCUACAGCUGUUUCAGAUAUGUAUCACCCUGGAGCCCAGCAUGCUACAGCUGCAACACAUCACCUUGUCAGGUUCGUCUUAGGAGACCCUCAUGGACUUGCUGCAAUAACAAGACACUGACCUGUUUAGAAAAACACAUCUUUUUAUUACCAAGCAAGUACAAGCUGUGGAGAAUCACUGUACUCAACCCGGCACAGAGUGCAGAGUCUCGCAAGUAAUUCUCCCAGAGCAGUGGACAGUCCCCGCUUUUUAUACUUUACAGAAGACAUUAUACAGAAAACAAUUUCACAAUUUAUAGAAGACAUGAUUCAUGAAACAAUUACUACAGCAGACAAAGACAGGAUACCAAACAAGCAUUGCAUCAAGAACAUAAAAGACCAGGAUAUAGUAUCGAUUGCUAGUGAAGCGAUUUCGAGCUGUUGUCCGGGACAGAUUGUGAUUUCAAGUUGCCGAUGUGUCUGGCUAGAACAAAGUCAGUGCCCUGGCCCCUUUGUCAGCGACAGAAGUUCUCUGCUUUAGAGGUUUCAUCCCUUUACAAAUUUUCCCCACCUAACCCUAUUUGAAAUAGCUUGAUUCUAAUUUUAAUUCAGUCAGGAAGCUUAAGACAGUGUCUGCAUGCCGAUGUGUGAGAAGAUAAGGAGUUACAAAAGCUUUACCCUGAAUUCCUAGCUGAGCAGGAAACUUCAGGGCAGUGCCUGCAUACCUUUGUGUAGGUAGAUAAGAGUUUACUUCUAUAAAUUAAAGUCUCUGCAUAGGAAUCAAAUGCAGAUAAAAGACUUUAAUUUAUAGAAGCAUAGAAAUCAAUGGGAUGUUAUCACAUUAACAUCUCAACCUGAUCUGUCAUUUCUAUCAUUAUUUUAAUUAACUUAGCAAUUAAAUCACUCCGGUACUCUAUUCUUUACAUUUGUUUACAACCUGUUCUUUAACACUUAGUAAUCCACAAACUUUGUUUUAACCAGCACCUUACCAACUGGGAGUCUUGAUAAACCAGCACAAAGUAUAUACCUCAAAUAGCCCAAUCUACUGCGAUGUCUGAGUAUUUUAUGCUGUAAAUAAACUAUAAUGGUGAUGAGUAUACUCCAGAAUUAUGUUACUAUUUACUUACUGUGUGUUUUCACAUUGGUUUUCGGAGGAAUGUUAAUGUUUUUGAUAGAAGUUUUAAGGGAUGUUGAAGUCUCAAAGCUUUGCACGGUCAGGGUUUACCACAGUUAUGCAUACCUCUUGACUAUCUGGAAUAUUUGAUCAACCAGCACACUUCUGGUCGCAUACAUACUGGUUAAUAAAAUGUUUGCCAUGUAA